GAAUGUGAGGGUGUUCUGGAGAGGACUUCUGUCAACCCUUUGAUUGCCAGGAUCAAUUUGGCUGAACUGAGUGACUAGGCAGAUGCCCACUUUCUCCUCUUACAGUUCUAGGCUUGUUCCUCCUGAGACUGGUUCUAUGACAGUCUUAUCUGAGAAAGGAAAAUUCUUUUUCAGUCAAAGGAAGAGCCAAAUAAUUGCACUCUCCUAAUAGCAUAUAGAAUUUAAAAUUUUUUAUUGAAACAUGCAACUGUAAAAGUUUGGACUUAAAUGGGCUUCUUUUUCUU
rfam:Equus caballus chromosome 9, whole genome shotgun sequence.